ACCAACAAUUAACCAAACUCGUAAAUAGCCAUGGCCAACGACGACCAGCUUCACAUAGCAAUGCUUCCAUGGCUAGCCUUUGGCCACCUUAUUCCAUUCCUUCAACUAGCAAAGCUUAUGGCCACCAAAGGCCAUAAGAUUACCUUCAUUUCAACACCUCGAAACAUCCACCGACUACCUCAAAUCCCACAAACCCUAUCACCUUUCAUCACUUUCCUCCAAAUCCAUCUUCCAAACGUUGACAAUCUCCCUCCAAACGCCGAAUCCACCAAAGAUUUACCCCAAGAAAAGGUGAAGUACCUCAAAAUGGCCUCCGACGGUCUCCGACUACCCGUCACAAACUUUCUCAAAACCUCAUCUCCAGAUUGGAUCAUUUAUGAUUUCACUACCUACUGGUUGGGGCCAAUAGCGGCUGAACACGGCGUCCUCACCGCUUAUUUCAGUGUUUUUCCGGCUGUUGUUCUUGGUUACCUGGGUUCCCCCGAGUUGUUGAUUAACGGCGAUUAUUACCAUGAACCACAAGAGUUUAGCAACCUACCAAAGUGGGUUUCAUUCGAAUCCCAUGUUCGACCGAGCCUUUUUCAGUUUACGAGAUCCAAUGAAAACUUCAAUGAUGAUGAGGCUGAAAACGUUUCUGAUGCGUACCGGCUUGGAGCCACCAUACACGGCUGCGACGCGGUGGUCGUCAGAAGUAGUUUUGAUUUCGAGGCGGACUGGUUGAAACUCCUGAACCAUCUUUAUCAAAAGCCCGUCAUUCCGGCAGGGCUUUUACCGGCAGCAGGUGCCGAGGAGAAUACAAGUUGGCCGGAAACGAGAGAGUGGCUGGAGAAGCAUGAGAAAGGAUCGGUUGUUUAUAUUGCUUUUGGAACCGAAACCAAACCGAAUCAGUAUGAGUUAACUCAGAUAGCUUUAGGAUUAGAAUUGUGUGGUUUACCAUUUUACUGGGUGUUAAUCGAUCAACGUGGGCCAUCAGAUGACGUGGCUAUUGAAUUGCCACGUGGGUAUGAGGAGCGGACACGUGGACGUGGGGUGGUGUGCACGAGGUGGGCACCUCAGUUCAAAAUUCUGAGUCAUGACUCGGUAGGGGUGUUGUUGAUUCACUCAGGUAUGAGUUCAGUGGUGGAGGGGCUUCAACUGGGUAAACCACUUGUACUGUUGCCAUUCUUAUUUGACCAAGGCUUAAUUGCAAGCUAUUUGGUGGAGAAAAAGAUGGCGUAUAUGAUUCCUAGGGACGAGUUGGAUGGGUCAUUUAGUCCAGAAUCGGUGGCUGACUCACUGAGUCUUGUUAUGGGGAAAGAAGAGGGGAAAAUAUAUAGAGACAAGGCUAGAGAAAUGAUGACGAUAUUUGGGGGUAGAGAGAUCCAAGACAAGUGCAUGGAUGAGCUAUUGUCUUUUCUUAACAAGUCAUUGAAAUAAAUUUAAGUUAAAUGUGUUAUAAAUUAUAUAUGGUUUUGAUUGUAUCAGGUAUAAAUUUCUCUUCAUGUUUGCUCUCCUUAUCCAAGCCUCUAUCUUCAUGGAUCUGCACUCUCUAUUCUCCAUCAGUGAUCAUUGCUUCUUCCUCCAUCAAUCUCAUUUCUCAUGCUUCUUCGGUCUCCAGCCGACAACCCUUUCAUCCUGCAAUCUCCGAUCUACCUUGCGGUUUUCGUUGUUAUUUCUUCAGGCCGACUUGCGUUUUUUGGUUGGUAUUUAAUUUCUUCAGGAAGCAAGCUAUUGAUAAGCUUGAUAUCAACGAGUAAUAGUAUCAUGUGUUUUUUGCUUUAAGGUUCACCUAAAACUUGAGUUGCAAACCUGUGUGGCCCUGGAAAAGUUCUAUGUAAUGAAAAUUAUACCUAAAACUUGAG